rnacentral:lncRNA from 1 species
AGACGACCCAUCUAAGAUUAGGGGGGAGAUCCUUAGUAGUGGUGACCCUUUGACUCUUCCACGGACUUAUACAUGUACCGAAUGCUCAUACGGGAAAGUGAACUCCUGGGUCUGGAACCAGGGGGGUUGCUCCGAGAAAUCCUUUCUUUCUCGUCCACUCCAGGGGGUGCGGACACACCUGCGCGGAUUACAGGUGACGGUUACAAGAAUGGCGGGGAAGUGAAGAGUACCCGACGGCAUUCAGGGAUGAAUGUAGACCCAUCGGGCAGGGAUAAUCAUUCCGGUCCUGGGAGAGGUGGCGACACCAGUCUGAGCUGAGGGAAGCCCUAUGAGUCACUGAAACGACCGCAGGAGGCGCACCCUAAGCCCAGCUUCUCGGAGCUGCUAUUGCGAAAUACCGCUUACCCUUAAUACUAUAAGCAACAGGGGGGCUGGGCUGCUCGCCUUCAUAGAAAGGCGACCGGGCCUAGAUUAGAUGUUCGCCUUUUUUUAGAAUAGAAGGAGAAGGUAAAGGAAGGG